rnacentral:rRNA from 1 species
AGAGUUUGAUCAUGGCUCAGGAUGAACGCUGGCGGCGUGCUUAACACAUGCAAGUCGAACGGAGUUUUUAAACGGAAGUUUUCGGAUGGAAGUUUAAAAACUUGUGGCGGACGGGUGAGUAACGCGUGGGUAACCUGCCUCAUACAGGGGGAUAACAGUUAGAAAUGACUGCUAACACCGCAUAAUAUAGCGAAACCGCAUGAUUUUUGCUAUCAAAUAUUUAUAGGUAUGAGAUGGGCCCGCGUCUGAUUAGCUAGUUGGUGGGGUAAAAGCCUACCAGGGCGACGAUCAGUAGCCGGCUUGAGAGAGUGACCGGCCACAUUGGGACUGAGACACGGCCCAAACUCCUACGGGAGGCAGCAGUGGGGAAUAUUGGACAAGUGGGGGAAACCCUGAUCCAGCGAACCGCCGCGUGAGUGAAGAAGUUAUUUCGGUAUGUAAAGCUCUAUCAGCAGGGAAGAUAAUGACAGUACCUGACUAAGAAGCCCCGGCUAACUACGUGCCAGCCGCAGC